AGAAUCAACGCUGGCGGCGUGCCUAACACAUGCAAGUCGAACGAGAAAGUGGAGCAAUCCAUGAGUACAGUGGCGACCGGGUGAGUAACACGUGACUACCUACCCUUGAGUGGGGGAUAACCUCGGGAAACCGAGGCUAAUACCGCAUAAUAUCGAGAGAUCAAAGGAGUAAUCCGCUUUUGGAGGGGGUCGCGGCUGAUUAGCUAGUUGGUAGGGUAAUGGCCUACAAAGGCGAAGAUCGGUAUCCGGCCUGAGAGGGCGCACGGACACACUGGAACUGAAACACGGUCCAGACUCCUACGGGAGGCAGCAGUGGGAAUUUUGCGCAAUGGGGGAAACCCUGACGCAGCAACGCCGCGUGGAGGAUGAAAGCCCCUUGGGGUGUAAAACUCCUUUCGACCGGGAAAAUAAUGAUGGUACCGGUGGAAGAAGCACCGGCUAACUCUGUGCCAGCAGCCGC
rnacentral:rRNA from 1 species